UACGUAGGGGGCAAGCGUUGUCCGGAAUCAUUGGGCGUAAAGCGCGCGUAGGCGGCCCUGUAAGUCCGUUGUGAAAGUCAAAGGCUCAACCUUUGAAAGCCGAUGGAUACUGCAGGGCUAGAGUCCGGAAGAGGAGAGUGGAAUUCCUGGUGUAGCGGUGGAAUGCGCAGAUAUCAGGAGGAACACCUAUGGCGAAGGCAGCUCUCUGGUACGUGACUGACGCUGAGACGCGAAAGCGUGGGGAGCGAACAGG
rnacentral:rRNA from 1 species